rnacentral:rRNA from 1 species
GGGUUGUGAGGUUAAGCGACUAAGCGUACACGGUGGAUGCCCUGGCAGUCAGAGGCGAUGAAGGACGUGCUAAUCUGCGAUAAGCGUCGGUAAGGUGAUAUGAACCGUUAUAACCGGCGAUUUCCGAAUGGGGAAACCCAGUGUGAUUCGUCACACUAUCAUUAACUGAAUCCAUAGGUUAAUGAGGCGAACCGGGGGAACUGAAACAUCUAAGUACCCCGAGGAAAAGAAAUCAACCGAGAUUCCCCCAGUAGCGGCGAGCGAACGGGGAGCAGCCCAGAGCCUGAAUCAGUGUGUGUGUUAGUGGAAGCGUCUGGAAAGGCGCGCGAUACAGGGUGACAGCCCCGUACACAAAAAUGCACAUGCUGUGAGCUCGAUGAGUAGGGCGGGACACGUGGUAUCCUGUCUGAAUAUGGGGGGACCAUCCUCCAAGGCUAAAUACUCCUGACUGACCGAUAGUGAACCAGUACCGUGAGGGAAAGGCGAAAAGAACCCCGGCGAGGGGAGUGAAAAAGAACCUGAAACCGUGUACGUACAAGCAGUGGGAGCACGCUUAGGCGUGUGACUGCGUACCUUUUGUAUAAUGGGUCAGCGACUUAUAUUCUGUAGCAAGGUUAACCGAAUAGGGGAGCCGAAGGGAAACCGAGUCUUAACUGGGCGUUAAGUUGCAGGGUAUAGACCCGAAACCCGGUGAUCUAGCCAUGGGCAGGUUGAAGGUUGGGUAACACUAACUGGAGGACCGAACCGACUAAUGUUGAAAAAUUAGCGGAUGACUUGUGGCUGGGGGUGAAAGGCCAAUCAAACCGGGAGAUAGCUGGUUCUCCCCGAAAGCUAUUUAGGUAGCGCCUCGUGAAUUCAUCUCCGGGGGUAGAGCACUGUUUCGGCAAGGGGGUCAUCCCGACUUACCAACCCGAUGCAAACUGCGAAUACCGGAGAAUGUUAUCACGGGAGACACACGGCGGGUGCUAACGUCCGUCGUGAAGAGGGAAACAACCCAGACCGCCAGCUAAGGUCCCAAAGUCAUGGUUAAGUGGGAAACGAUGUGGGAAGGCCCAGACAGCCAGGAUGUUGGCUUAGAAGCAGCCAUCAUUUAAAGAAAGCGUAAUAGCUCACUGGUCGAGUCGGCCUGCGCGGAAGAUGUAACGGGGCUAAACCAUGCACCGAAGCUGCGGCAGCGACGCUUAUGCGUUGUUGGGUAGGGGAGCGUUCUGUAAGCCUGUGAAGGUGUACUGUGAGGUAUGCUGGAGGUAUCAGAAGUGCGAAUGCUGACAUAAGUAACGAUAAAGCGGGUGAAAAGCCCGCUCGCCGGAAGACCAAGGGUUCCUGUCCAACGUUAAUCGGGGCAGGGUGAGUCGACCCCUAAGGCGAGGCCGAAAGGCGUAGUCGAUGGGAAACAGGUUAAUAUUCCUGUACUUGGUGUUACUGCGAAGGGGGGACGGAGAAGGCUAUGUUGGCCGGGCGACGGUUGUCCCGGUUUAAGCGUGUAGGCUGGUUUUCCAGGCAAAUCCGGAAAAUCAAGGCUGAGGCGUGAUGACGAGGCACUACGGUGCUGAAGCAACAAAUGCCCUGCUUCCAGGAAAAGCCUCUAAGCAUCAGGUAACAUCAAAUCGUACCCCAAACCGACACAGGUGGUCAGGUAGAGAAUACCAAGGCGCUUGAGAGAACUCGGGUGAAGGAACUAGGCAAAAUGGUGCCGUAACUUCGGGAGAAGGCACGCUGAUAUGUAGGUGAAGUCCCUCGCGGAUGGAGCUGAAAUCAGUCGAAGAUACCAGCUGGCUGCAACUGUUUAUUAAAAACACAGCACUGUGCAAACACGAAAGUGGACGUAUACGGUGUGACGCCUGCCCGGUGCCGGAAGGUUAAUUGAUGGGGUCAGCGCAAGCGAAGCUCUUGAUCGAAGCCCCGGUAAACGGCGGCCGUAACUAUAACGGUCCUAAGGUAGCGAAAUUCCUUGUCGGGUAAGUUCCGACCUGCACGAAUGGCGUAAUGAUGGCCAGGCUGUCUCCACCCGAGACUCAGUGAAAUUGAACUCGCUGUGAAGAUGCAGUGUACCCGCGGCAAGACGGAAAGACCCCGUGAACCUUUACUAUAGCUUGACACUGAACAUUGAGCCUUGAUGUGUAGGAUAGGUGGGAGGCUUUGAAGUGUGGACGCCAGUCUGCAUGGAGCCGACCUUGAAAUACCACCCUUUAAUGUUUGAUGUUCUAACGUUGACCCGUAAUCCGGGUUGCGGACAGUGUCUGGUGGGUAGUUUGACUGGGGCGGUCUCCUCCUAAAGAGUAACGGAGGAGCACGAAGGUUGGCUAAUCCUGGUCGGACAUCAGGAGGUUAGUGCAAUGGCAUAAGCCAGCUUGACUGCGAGCGUGACGGCGCGAGCAGGUGCGAAAGCAGGUCAUAGUGAUCCGGUGGUUCUGAAUGGAAGGGCCAUCGCUCAACGGAUAAAAGGUACUCCGGGGAUAACAGGCUGAUACCGCCCAAGAGUUCAUAUCGACGGCGGUGUUUGGCACCUCGAUGUCGGCUCAUCACAUCCUGGGGCUGAAGUAGGUCCCAAGGGUAUGGCUGUUCGCCAUUUAAAGUGGUACGCGAGCUGGGUUUAGAACGUCGUGAGACAGUUCGGUCCCUAUCUGCCGUGGGCGCUGGAGAACUGAGGGGGGCUGCUCCUAGUACGAGAGGACCGGAGUGGACGCAUCACUGGUGUUCGGGUUGUCAUGCCAAUGGCACUGCCCGGUAGCUAAAUGCGGAAGAGAUAAGUGCUGAAAGCAUCUAAGCACGAAACUUGCCCCGAGAUGAGUUCUCCCUGACUCCUUGAGAGUCCUGAAGGAACGUUGAAGACGACGACGUUGAUAGGCCGGGUGUGUAAGCGCAGCGAUGCGUUGAGCUAACCGGUACUAAUGAACCGUGAGGCUUAACCUUACAACGCCGAAGGUGUUU